AAUAGUUUGGGAUGGACGUUCUCUGAGGUCCCCUCUAGCUGAAUGCUGUGCAACACUCUGUGGUUAUUUGCGGGAUGGUAGAGAAAACCAAUAUCACAGUCCCUUUGGCUGAGGGGGGUGAGUGGAUGCCACUAGAACAGGGUAGAAUGAGCGUUCUUGGGAUCAAGAAUGAAAAAGAUCCAAGUGCCUUUAGCUGCAGCAGCCAGAAAACCCUACAGGAGGUCCAGAUUAGAGCGCAGUUGGCGGAGGUCGGGAGGUAAAGACCCUGGGAUUCCAGGAAAAUCCAUUCCCAGAAGCAACAGCCAGCGACAGAGCUCAUCCUCCCCAGCUCCAGGCUGGAGGACACUCUCUCAGGGACCCUGGUGGAGGAAGGAUGGAGGAGCACAUGGGCCCUGUGAUUGCACUCAGAGGGUAGAAAUGUGCCCCAGGAUCCUCCUGACGUGCUCUGAAUGAGGGCAGGACACAGCAGCACUGCCCUCAUCCUCCUGUGCUAGAGUCUGUCCCCAACCCACCCCCCCCACCCCCCCGACCGGCACAAGCCUGUCAGAAAGGCAGGCACAGCAGGACCCUGAGCUCCAACUGUCCUUUCCACUCUUGUGAGGAAAGCGGACAGCGGGCUGAGUGUGCUUCCUCUAGGGCCUGGCCAGCACCCUCCACCCCCACACCACCCCCACACGCUCACACACCCACAUACUUAGGCACGCACACGCACUCACACACACAUCCUCAUGCACACACUCAGACUCACAUACUUGCACACUCAUUCACACACUCACAGAGAAACAGCUGGCCAUGCACAUUCAACCACAUAAGGCACGGAUCCUUUACACUUGUGCUGAGGCUGUGAAGCCAGCAUAGUCAGCCAUUCUCCAGCAUCGUUGGAGGCUUGGCGGUGUACAAAGAAUCGAGGGACUACAAAAGAAACCCAGAAGGUCACUGCCCUCCUGAAGCUCUUCCUGGGUGGGGGAGAGAAUAGAGAUGGACACAAAGACUAUGAGGAAUCGUGUGAUUGUGAGACCUAUGGGAGUUCAGCACCAGAGAAAGCACGAGGAGACAGGCUGAGGAGAAGGAAGGCAUGGCCUUCAAGCCCAGAGGGGAUGGAGCAGGCUAAGGUGGGGAAGGGGCUUGAGGAGGGAGCCUGACAGCCCCCUGGCCAGGAGGGUCCUGAAGUAAAGGCACAGGUGAAGACAAAAACUGCCUGGUCCCUAGCCAGUGGUCCUGCACACAGACACUCUCACCUGCCCUCAAACCCUGAUCCACAGACGGCACCCGCAUUUGCCCACGAGGACACUGGUCACUGUUGUCCAGAGCCCACUUGUCUUCCUCCCUCCAAACCCUGAGAACCAGGCCCUGCCCAUUGGCACAUAUACAAACGUGUCUGCACACACUUACACACACCUCUACUAUACGCAUCCUGCACACACAUACUGUAAAUACACCAGCCCACACAAAAUCACAUAGUGUACGCACCCGCUAGACACUCCAGGGUUUCGACUCUGCCAAGCUUUUUCUAGACAUCAAUACGAGCUGUGUUUACCCGCAUUGUUCAGCCGGGCAGUCUCAAACAUGGGAUUUGCAUGUACAUGCAGGCUCCAUAUAUGCACACCCACUUCAUUCACAACCUACAUACACACCAUUGUCACAGACAAGCUACCCUUUCGAAUAGACUGAGGACCAGACAAGGCCUAACCCCAAC
rnacentral:lncRNA from 1 species